rnacentral:lncRNA from 1 species
CUAGAUAAGCAACUGCCCACUUGUGAUCCUUUCCGAAGUACCACCCAGCUUUUUAUCAUUAUCAUAGUUUCCUGAAAAAUCAGUUCAAAUCCUUUCUUCUCUUGAUACAAAAUUAUUGCAUUUAGAAUUCCUCCAACCAAGUUUUCAGAAGAUGCAAGGCGUUAAAGACAAAGCUACAAGUAACGAUUCCAGGGACAAACCCUACAAGGACUCUCUUAUCUCCAAGCAAAUGACAAGAUUUUCAGGUAACGUAAGUCUCAAUAAAGCUGAUAAAAAGAGACAGGAUUGCAAGCUUAAGCAGGCGGAGGAGUCAUUGCGGACUGUCAUAUACCUGAGUUGUUGGGGCCUUAACUGAUACUAAGUGAAACUAUGAUCAGUAGUUUUUAUGCGUAUUAGCUAAGGAAGCAGAUUAAUCUUCUUUUUCCUUCUUUUCAGUUCAACUUUUCAAGUGAGGUGCUAACUAAGACAAACCAUUUGUCAUCGUGUUGAGUGUUGAUUGAAGUUCUUGUACUAUGACAAAAUUAACUAUUUAUUUUCUUUUAAAUCACAAUUAUUAUAUCUAUAUUUUAUAUAAUUAAUUUAUAUGGGCUUAGGUCUGUUUUACUAUUCCAUGUGACAUACAAAAUAAGGAGUAAAAGCAUAGAUUAAAACAUCAGUAAAAACACAAAGGAGAAUAGAAUUACAAAUCCCAUAAAAAUUCUUACAAGUAAAGAAAUGUGUUCUCCCUAAGAAAUGUGUUGUACUAAGAUAAGUGACUAAAAGGGGUGAAUGAGUCCUUUUACCAAAUAUUCAGCUCAUGCUCAAAGUUUUAGUAAAAAAUUGUAAUUACUAAUUAUGAGUGUGAAAAUAUGAUAGAUUCAGUUCAGCCUAUCAUCCCAGACUAAUGUUAUGACUGAGAUGACUAACAGGACCAUCCUACAAGGUCUAAAGAAAAGACUCAACCAAGUCAAGGGCUACUAGUUCGAAGAGUUAUCCCACAUACUGUGGGCAUACAGAAUUACCCCAGGACAGCUACAAAAGAAACACUCUUUUUCCUUAUAUAUGGGGCCGAAGCAAUUAUUCUCCUGGAAAUUCAAGUAGCUGCUUCAGGACACAAUACCCUAAGAUAUCAGGAAAUUCUGAAAAAAUACAUUUCAAUUUGAACCAAGCAGAAUUUCUGCAGGAAAAGGCCACAAUCAUAAUGGCGGUUUACAGAAGCAAGAUGUCCCGAAUAUUCAACAGUAAGGUUAGGCCACACACCUUUAAUGUUGGGGAUAGUCCUUAAAAUGACAUAUUUGAUGGGUGGCAACGCCGGGUCUAGUAAGUUGGGCGAGAAUUGGAAAAGACCAUUCUGGUCUUUAAAUUUAUUCGUCCAGGAUCAUAUAAGCUGACCAAGUUAAAUUGUCAAGUCAUUCUCCACUCCUGGAAUAUCUAUAACCUAAGAAAGUUUUAUCGAUAACAAAUUAACAAGAUAUUUUCACAUGUGGUAUUCUUUAGUAACAAGAAACAAUGGGAUUGCCUCCCUUGAAGAGAGACUAAACUAGGUUACAAGGCGAUUCCAGCCAGACCACUUGGGCAUUGCUCCUACUAAGUAAGGCCAUAAGGCAAUUUUCGCCAGGCUAAGUCACGAGGCGGUUCUCACCAAACCACUUGGGCAUUGGUCUCAUAAAUCUAGGCCACAAGGCAAAUAUUCGCCAGUCCAAGUCACGAGGCAGUUUCCGCUAGACCACUUGAGCGUUGGUCUCACAAAUUAAGAUUAUAAGGCAAUCUUAGCCAGGCCAGGCCAUAAGACAGUUUUUGUCAGGCCAGGCUAUUAGGCAGUCUUUGCUGGGCCAUUUUGGCGUCGAUUCCAUAAAUCAAGGCUACAAGGAAAAUAUUUUCUAGACCAAGUCACGAGGCUGUUCCUGCCAGACCACUUGGGUGUUGGUCUUAUAAAUUAAUGCCACAAGGCAAAUAUUCGCCAGGCCAGAUCACAAGGCGGUUUUCGCUAGACCACUUAGACGUUGAUUCUAUAAAUCAAGGCUUCAAGGGAAAUAUUCGCUACACCAGGCCACGAGGCGGUUCUCGUAAGACCACUUGGGCGUUGGUCCCACAAAUUAAGGCCAUAAGGGAAUCUUAGCCAGGCUAGGCCACAAGGCAAUUUUUACUAAGCAAGGCCAUAAGGCAGUCUUUGCCAGGUUAUUCAGGCAUUGGUCCCAUAAAUCAAGGCCACAAGGCAAAUAUUUGCCAGGCCAAGUCACAAGGCGGUUCCCCCAUACCACUUGGGCGAUGGUCCCACUAAGCAAGGCCAUAAGGCAGUCUUCGCCAGGCCAUCCGGGUGUUGGUCCCACUAAAGGCUGCAAGGCAGUUUAUGCUAGGUCAAGCUACGAGAUGACUCUCGUCAGACCCCAAAUUUAGGCGUUGGCCCCAUUAAUUAAGUCGUCUACAUCAGAUAGCCAGGAAAGACGAAUAUACUAACCCUCGAAAAGAUAAAGGAUGAAGGCGUCAAACAAAGAACUAGAUCGGGUAAAAGAUCCUAAUUAAUAAAUCUACCUAAGGCAUUUUACGACAGAAGGACGAAAGUUUACUGGGCCACAGAUCCAGGUAUUAAUCCUAUUUUUUAGUAACUAUUUUAUAAUUAAACGAGUGUUAAAGAAGAUACCUUUAGCCCCCUUCGUUUGACAAAAAUGGUGGCAAUAAAGGAAGCACACGAAAUAUAUAUUUUUAUUACAAAAGAUUACAAGAAGUCAAGAAAGGGACUUGAAUAAAGUCUCUAUUAUAUCAAAAGUCUUUAUUACAUCAGAAUCCCUAAAAACUAUCCAAUCCUAUGGGAGGAAGUCAACUAAAAUGCCAUGAGAAAAGUUGUCUCUCCAACUAACUUCCUACCCUUGCCUUCAGAAUCAAUCUCGUACAAUCCAGUCUCCUUAGGGAUCGCAACACUAAAAAGUCAUUAUAGUCGAGCUAGUUGCAAUCUUCAAGUAAUGCACAGAGUUAAGCAGUGUGCCCGCACCUUCAGAAAGCCUCGCCUUCAAUUGUUCUAUGAAGACCAUGAUGAUAUCCUCUAUAUUAAUUUGGUAGACUAUGAUGAUAUCCUCCACACAUAUUUGGUUACUCUCAAGAAUAGAAAAAGGAGAAACCUCCACUCCUCUCUCCCCUGAGAAACUGUUGUGAACCAAAAAGAAAAAAAGAAGGGUUCUUAUACAGUGAAGUAGUCGACAAAGUUUUGAAUGCGGCACAGAAGAUAAAGUGACCACAGGCAAGCGAAAUAACACUCACAACCGAGAUCAUGUUGUGUGUCCUAGACCAGAAAGGCAAACGGUCACCUUCGAACCUAAAGAGUUGAAGAUCGGCAGAGACUUUCGAUAUUACAUAUAUCCACUCAAUGUACAUUAUGAGUUGUCACCAUAAAACAGAGGGCAUGUGGCAGGGAUUUGACAAGUGGGAGACACGAUUCCAUUACAGAAAAAGAGAUCUAGACACUUUAACAUCUGGACCAUCAUCAAGACUCGCCCUCCCCUGAUAGGCCGAGUCUUCACACAUAAUCACCGUUACUAGGUACAUUCCCGCUUCGCCUAUGAUUACGAGAUUACUAAUUUAUUAGCUGCCAAUAUCCAUUAUCAAACAGCUAGCCACAUCACUACUGGAUUCUUCGAAAACACUAUAUUUACCUCCAUCCUCUCACAGUAUAAAAGUAGAAUGAUAUUAAAGGUAAAGAUAUGUUAUUCUCUAAUACUAAAACUUUAAGCAAUUCAUUGCAUUCUCUCCUUAUUACAAUACUAACUUGAGCGUCGGAGUGACUGCUGUGAACACCCACCACCGCCUCAUUUUUUUUCCUUGCAAGUUUUAUCUAAUCAUAAUAUAGUCCAUUCCGAUCACAUCAUCAAUCUAAUCUGAGCUACAUCAGAAUUAAUAGAAUAUUAUUUUAAAAAUUAUAUUAUUUGAAAAAUAUAUAUCAUUAAAUUAUUAUAAGUUGAAUCUUAAUUUCAAUAAAUAUUUAUUUAAAUAUUUUUAGAAUUUGUUUAAUUUCAUAUACUUAUCUCAUCCAUUCAUCUAAACAAAAAUUAAUAUAAAUUUAAGUAUUUUAAUUUACUUUAUAUUAACUUACAAUUUAUUAUUUUAACGAUUUUCAUUUCUUAUCUACUGUAUAAUUAUAUUUUAAAAUACUUUGCAUGGUAAUUUUGACAUUAUUAAAUUUAUUAUUAUUACUGAAUAAUAGUCCAAUUGAAAUUUUAAAUGUUAGUAUUCAUUCAAAUUCAAUAACUUACUAUCAUAAUAAAAAAAAUAAAUUUCAUAUUUUUUAAAAACUAAUAGUAAUAAAUAUUAUCUCACUUUUAUUUAUAUUAUAAGUAUCUUCUACUUUAAAUAAAUAUAAUAAACUAUAGAUAAAUUGAAAAUAAAUAUUAAAUAAAUCAAUUUUAUAAUUAUUAACUAUAUAAUUUAUAAAAUAAUAUCAACAAAAGCUUUUAUAUAAAAAUUCUUAAAAUUAUUAAUUGUAUAUAGCUCAAUUAUUAAUAUUUUUAAAUUUAUAAGAUAGGAUAAUUAAUGAAAAAUAUAUUUUUUUUAAUUUUAAACGAGAAAAAGUUAUUCAUGAAGAAAUAUAUAUUUUGAGUUUUGAUUAUACAAGAAUUAUUUUUAAGAAUAAAGUUAUAUAUUUAAUUAAUCAAAAUUAUAUUUUUUUAUUAAAUAAAAUUUAUAUUCAAAUAAAAAAAUUUAACUAAUUAAAUUAAAGAUCUAAUUGCAACUACUAAAUUUAACUACAUCUGUUAUUAGAGAUUUCAUCAUUCAUUUCUCUUUCCACUUUGUAAAUUCAUUGCACUUGAUUUUUUUUAAAUUAUAUUUUAUUAAAUAAAACAAUUUAAAUCUGAACUAAAAAUAUUAAUUUCAUAUAAAUAUUUAAAAUAAUUUAUAACAUUAAAUAAUAUAGUCAAAAAAUAAAAUUUUAGCAUCUUUAACAUUUACAAAGGUUUUUAUUUUUAAAUUUAAAGAAAAAAAUUGUAAUUUUUUUUCUUUCUUUAGUUUUUUCAUGGGAUGUUUAUAUGGAAAAAAAAUUAUUAUUUUAAACUUAAAAAUCAUAUGUAUAUUUUUUAAAAUUACAUUUAUAUGAACAUUACAUAAAAUAUUUAAAAAAUUAAAUUAAAUAUAGAUAAAAAUAAAAUCGAUUUAAUAGUAAAAAAAAGUCAUAAAAUCAAAGAUUACUUAACCUUUUAAAUUUUAUUUAAAUAAAAACAUUAAAAAACAUAAUAAAUUAAACAUAAAAAAUUAUAAAAAUAUUAAACUAAAGUAAGAAAAGUCACGUACACAUAGAAAAUCAAAUUCAAUAUAAAUCUAAAUUAGAUAAGGAUACAAAUAAAUGGGAGAUUAAGAGAGCAGCACAAAUAGUAUUCUGAAAAUUGAGAAUCUAAUAAUGCAAAUUGAAACUUGAGAAGUGUGUUUAGAACUUAAGAAGUUAAUGGUGUGAGUUUAGUAGUAUUAGACAAGUAAAUACUUGAUAAGCAAUUAUACGUAGAUGUAAAAUACCUUUCAUGAAAUCUCAUCCAAUUUAAAUUUGAUUUAUUUUAUAGCAAUCUUUUUAUUUAUUAAACCUAAAUUAAUAAAAAUUACUAAAUUCUCUAUUAAUUUUAUUGAACACUGAUGAUCUGAGAUACAGAUAAUAGGGUUUUACAAGAGUUUUUAUGAACUAAAAAAAAACUUAAACCGAGAGGAGAGUGUUCCUCCCCUUUUAUUCUUUUCUUUUAUCUGUUAGUGACGUGUAACGGCCUUACCGCCAUUAGGCCACCUGUCUCUGCCAUUCUGAUACGGUCGUACGAGAAUAUCAGAUAUUCUGCUUCAUGCGUAACGGCCAUUUAAUUCUCCUCUGACACGCAUGCGGAGGGUCCCACCAGAUGGAUGGGCUGGCCACCUUCCUUCUUCUGGACUGGACUGGAAGAGGAGAUUAAGGCUGAGCUUAGAGGAGGUCUGAUCAUUGGGCCGGAAAAGGCAGGGCCGGCCUGAUUGAGAAAUCUAAAUGGAGCCCGAUCUUAAAACUGAGCGGGUUGGACCUGAUUCACGCGAGAGACUUAGAAGCUUUCAGAUCAUGGACUGUCAUCGUGGAUCUGGCCUUAGACCGGGAUAAUGAAAUCCAGCGGUUAUCAAACACCACACGAAAAUAAAUAAUAAUUAUAUGGAGUAUACAAUAUUUUGAAUUUUUAUUUUAAUUACAUUUUGCUAAUUAUUAUUUUAUGAGAUCUCAAUCACAUUAAAAUAAAUAAUAAUUAUCUGUUAUUAUUUUAAUAUUACGAUAAUUAUUUUUGAUAUUUUUAAAUAAUAUUUAAAUUUUUUUAUUUUAAUAAUUUUAUCUCAAAAAAUUUAAUUUAAAUAUUAUUAAAAUUAUUAUUUUUUAAUAAUUAUUCUACAUAUUACCAAAUAAAAAAAUUUAACAUGCAUUAAUUUUAAAUAAUAAAUAUUUAAAACUAUUUUAAGUGAUAUAUAAAUAAUUUAUUAAUUUAAAAUUAUUUAAAUAAUAAAAUAAUUAUCUAUUUUAAAAUAUAAAUUCAAUUAUAAAUAACUAAAUAAUAUAAAAUAAAAUCGAUAAUCUUAUUAUUCUCCCUCUUCUCGCUUUUACAGUAUAAGGAUAAAAUCAUAAUCCCAUUAUUAUUUUCUUCCUAUUUUUAUAUAUAGUAUAGAUAUAUAAGGUAAUAUUUAGUUUUAAUUUCAAAAUCAAACUAUAAAUUUUUUGAAAAUGAAAACUUUUAUUUAAUAAAAUAUUGGAAAUAUUAACAUACGGAAAAAAGAAAAAAAAUGGGAAUGAGAAGGAUAGGUUGCAAAACGUGUAGAAUUUUAAUCAAGUGGUUUUAUCCACUCUUUCGAGUCGGGAAAACAAGUGGCUUGGACUUGAAAGCACUGACAACUAAAACAAGUGGUUUUGGGCUCCCAUUCCUCCGGCGUAGCUUGAUUUUGCUAAACAAAACCUUGUGCACAUUCUCCAACUGAACAAAGUUCUCUAAACCCCAUUUUGCCUUCGCAUAGUUAAUUUGACAAACAGAUAAUGCAAGGGUAAGCAAGUCAACUCCUCUGAAAAAACUACUUGCCUUGCAAAUUACAGCAGGCCUAAAAACCAUUGGCUAGCUGAUGGUUUCACCAGACUUUAGGCUGUAAUCCUCCUCUAUAAAUAUACCCAUCAUCAGUGAAUUAUUCCUCAGGUUCAGCAUACUGAAAAUAUAUUUUAAGCUGCUUUGUGAAUUUAAAUUUUUGGAUCUCUAAUUUUUAGAUAGAAAAACAAGGGAAUUGAAGAUGGUUUUAGCAGUAAAAGCUUGGAUGGUUGCAGCCAGCAUUGGAGCUGUGGAGGCGUUGAAGGACCAAGGAUUCUGCAGAUGGAACUACACCAUUAGGUCAGUGAACCAGCAUGUCAAGAAUAACCUCAAGACUAUAUCUCAGGCCAAGAAGAUAUCUUCCUCUUCAUCUGCUGCUGUAGUCUCAAGGAAAGUGAGGGAAUCAAGGCAAGCAGAGGAGUCUCUGAGGACAGUCAUGUACUUGAGUUGCUGGGGUCCCAACAGCUGAGGAUAAUCCGCAUGCUUAUAAAAGCUUUGGCAUAUAAAUAUUUUCAAGAUUUGGUCUUUCACACAGCUAGAGGAGACAUAUCUGAAGCCAAACUCUUGGUCUCUAAUUUAGAACAUAGAUGAUGGAUUUUUGUAAUAUGAGGUGUAAUUUGUAUAAUAUGUUGAAUACGAAAUAUUAUGAUAAUUUAAUAUUUUUGUUCACCUCCCUUUUUCUUCUUAUUUUUUAGUAAAUUAUAAUUUAGCUUUUGUAGUGUAAUUAAAAUCUAUAAACUGGUGCCUAUCUAACUUAAUCCGGAAGUUUAAAGCUGGUUUCAUUCAAUUAAUAAAUUCAUGUUCUGAGUUUUUAUAUCUCUAAUCCUUGAUUAAAAAAUUCAGAAUAAUAGAGAAAUUUAUGCAUUUUUUCUCCCUCUGUAGUUUUACCUAGAGAGACUUUUCUCUUUGAGAAUCUGAUUUAUUGAGGAACAAGUCCUCUGUUUGUGCCCAAGUAGGGGUUGAGAAAGCUUUCUUCUUCCACUUUGUCUGAUUUUGCGUGUUUCUUUCUCCCCUUCGAGUGGGAGGUGUAAAUAAGUGUCUGUGGUUUCUUUUGUUUGUUGGUUUUGCUUCUAUCUUGAUUGCAGGAUGAACUUGCAGGGUGGAUUUGUAGAUUUUGCGAUUUUCUGUUAGUGAGUGGAAGAUCGGCAAGGGGCCUUGGUUUAGGCGGUCGUCAUCUUCUGGGGUCGAUGCCAAGUGAAUCCGUGAACGGUGAUCUUUGUUACUGACCGGUAAGAGAAACUCUUCCACCACUCCUCACGGCAAUAAAUCAUCAGUGUUACUCGUCACAACGCCUAUCUCCCCGAAGGAUAUUUGCGGGAGAGCUCUUUAUUCUUUAAUAUAGUUGUAAGCCCUCUAGAUAUUAUUGGUAGUCUCCCCUUUGAUGGGCUUGUUGUUCUCCUGAUUUUGGGAGUUCGGCCAACUUGAGGUUUGGUGCUGCAUGUGUUUCUUUAUUUUUUAUUUUUAGUAUUGAGAUGAAAUGGGUCGGAUAAUUCUGUUCGCUGCUAAGGAUCUCCUAGUUUUGGUCUCUGAUGGCUGGCAAGACAAGUGGCAAUGAGAUGUUCCAGAUCCAUCUUUCUGUUUCAAGAUUAGGGUUGUACUGGUUCCAGGUCAUGAGCUUGGAUUGUUUACAUUUUUGGACUUUAAUUUAUAUUCUUUUCGGGCCUUUCUUUCAGGUUGUAAUAAUGGUUUUCUACUAUUUUGAUUUAUCAAUGAAACUCUUUAUUUCUAAUAAAAAAUCCUUGGCUAAAAAAAAUCUAUACAUUAAUAGCUAAUUUGAUUUAAUACAAAGGUUAAAAGGCAUUUAAAUUCAAGUGUCUGCCCUUUAAUCCCUUAUUUAAAAAGCAUUAAUGGAUUUUUAUAUUUUCAAAAGCCACUUACAUAAUUUUUAUUUGAAUUAAUUGCAAAAAAAAAUUAUAUUUUUAAUUUUGUUGUAAUUAUACUCUACUUUUUUUAGUAAAUCUUCAUGUAAUAUUCGGCUAAAUUUUGCUCACUUUCCGAUGAAAUUUUCGUUGAAAUAUGAAAUUUUAGAAUCGAAAAAAAUGGUAAAAUAGAUAUUUAAAAUGGUAAAAUAGAUAUUUUAUAAAAUAAAUUUUAAGUAUUUUAAAAUAUAUUUAAAAAUAAAUGCUUUGGAAGAAUUUAAGAUCUGGAGGUAGCUUUUUCAAUCCUCCUAUAAAAGGGCUCCAACCUGAAAAGAGAGAAAUUUUUCUUCAUUUUCAAGCAUAAAUGAGUUAAAAUACCUUCCUUGAUGCUUUUAAAUUUUCUUAAGUCAGUCCCCUCACUCCUUCAUUUAUUUUUAGGUUUUGAAGAACAAACUUAGGUUUUGGAGAUUGAACUCUUUUAAAA